GACGAACGCUGGCGGCGUGCCUAAUACAUGCAAGUCGAACGCUUCUUUCCUCCCGAGUGCUUGCACUCAAUUGGAAAGAGGAGUGGCGGACGGGUGAGUAACACGUGGGUAACCUACCCAUCAGAGGGGGAUAACACUUGGAAACAGGUGCUAAUACCGCCUAACAGUUUAUGCCGCAUGGCAUAAGAGUGAAAGGCGCUUUCGGGUGUCGCUGAUGGUUGGACCCGCGGUGCAUUAGCUAGUUGGUGAGGUAACGGCUCACCAAGGCCACGAUGCAUAGCCGACCUGAGAGGGUGAUCGGCCACACUGGGACUGAGACACGGCCCAGACUCCUACGGGAGGCAGCAGUAGGGAAUCUUCGGCAAUGGACGAAAGUCUGACCGAGCAACGCCGCGUGAGUGAAGAAGGUUUUCGGAUCGUAAAACUCUGUUGUUAGAGAAGAACAAGGACGUUAGUAACUGAACGUCCCCUGACGGUAGCUAAACAGAAAGCCACGGCUAACUACGUG
rnacentral:rRNA from 1 species